rnacentral:rRNA from 1 species
AUUGAACGCUGGCGGCAGGCCUAACACAUGCAAGUCGAACGAGUGGCGGGCGGGUGAGUAAUGUCUGGGAAACUGCACGAUGGAGGGGGAUAACUACUGGCAACGGUUGCUAAUACCGAAUAACAUUGGAUGUGCCCAGAUGGAGUUAGCUGGUAGGGGGGGUAAUGGCUCACCUAGGGGCCGAUCCCUAGCUGGUCUGAGUGGAUGACCAGCAACUGUGCAGAUGGGACACGCUGCAAACCUCUACGGGAGACAGGGUUGGGGAACAUUGGGCAAUGGGCGCAAGCGAGAUGCGCUCAUGGGGCGUGUAUGAAAAGGGCCUUCGUGGUGUAGAGUAUGAUACUCGUGGGGGCGUUACUCGCCGAAGAAGCACCGGCUAACUCCGUGCCAGCAGCCGCGGUAAUAC